UUAACCGCUUCUGCGCAUGUCCUGCAAGCCGGGUCUCUCCAUCUACACUUACCUCCCGAUUCAUCUCCGAGAGUCUGAGUGGGAGCGCAUGAUGCGCUAGGACUAAGAAGAAAACUCGUUCACGGAAAGAGUCCCACAGCGCAUGCCCUCCGACUCAAUUUCCAGCUCAAACAUCAGAGUAAGGGCGCAUGCGCAUGUCCUCUAGGCUUUCUCUACUGUUCAAAGGAAUUUCUCUUCCUGCGCAUGUCCUAUAUCUUAGUUAAUGAUAGAAAGUAUAAAUACAUGCGCUUUUUAAUAGAGUAGAGGUUCAAGCGCUAGAUCUUUAAAUCAAUCCUAUGUCUUCAAAGUAUAUCUUGGAAUCAGCGCUACGCAUAUAUGCUGCCAUGGUCAUCGGUAGGCGGACUCAUAUCCACUAUAUAUAUCAGUAUCUCUACUGACACUGUAAUGUUCAUUCAUCUCACAGGGUUUAAUCUGCGAGAGGAUAAUUGGUCCUUUUUUAUAUAUUUUUUUAAACUCUGUGACUAAAGCUUACUGUGGUUAAAUAUUGGUCUUUUUUCUUCCUUCUGCACUAUUACUUUUUUCUGUGUUAUAUUAAUGUUAUAAUCUAAUAUUCUAGGUUUUCUUCUAUAAUUUAUGUAUCCUUUUAACUUUUAGAUAAAUGCCGUGACUGAGAAACCUUCAUUCAAUCCAUAUGGACUCAUAGUGCCUCAUCUAUGGAUCCAGCGAGCCUCACUUUGUAGGAGUUUCUUGUCUAGAUUACCCCCUCUUGGUUCCAUGGAUAUUACACGGAGCUCUUAUUACCAUGUAUAUAUUUUAUAUGCCUAGCUAUAGGGGUAUCUUCAUCAGUUUCCAUUGUACUCAGAUGGCCUGAGAUACGACGUCUCAAUUCCUGUAUGGUUUUCCCUAUAUAUAAUUUGGGACAUGUACAGGAGGCUAUAUAGAGGACGCCCUGUGUUCUGCAAGCAAUGAGUUGUCUAAUUUCAUAUUCUUUUUUAUCCACAGGGUUGAUGACCUUCUUUAUGCGGGGUAUAUACUUACAGAGGAGCGAUCUCAACAGGGUGAUGAGCCCCGGUACCUCUCCCUUGUUUCUCCAGUCCGAGUUCUCUCCUCCGCUAGAUGACUAUGAACCAGUUGGUCCUUUAAAUUUGAGCCUCUCCUGUAUGUUACAGAUGGAUUUGGGGUCAAGAAACACUAUCUCCUUAUCCUGAAUUUUCAGCGCGGCGUGCUGGAGAUCUGGCGGUUUUACAUCUUUCACUAUAGAG